GACAGACAGCAGUGUUUGGCAUGGAGGGGUGAUGGGUGACGGGUUGGCGCGGAGGGGAGUGGGGUGAAAGAAGGAUUGGCGUGGGUGUUUGGGAGCGGACUUGAUGGGGGGAGAGAAUGGCACAGCACAGGAGACAGCAGACAAGAAGCGGGGAGCGCGGAUGACACGGAAUGGGGAUGGUGGGCAGUGUGGGUGACGCAGAGCACGGAUGGUGGGCAUAGAGUUGAUAGAGAGUGGGGAUGAUGGGGAGUGAGGAUGGCAGGGAGCGAGGGUGGUGGAGUGGGUGGUGGGCACGGAGUGGGGGUGGUCGGCAAGGAGCAAGGGCGGUGAGUGCAGAGCAGGGAUAGCAGCAAGGAGCGGGGGAUGAUAGGGAAUACAGAUGGCAGCUGCAGCACAGGGAUGAGAGGGAGCUUGGAUGUGGGCAUGGUGCAGGGAUGAUGGGCAGCACAGAUGGUAGGCAGCUGUGGUGGCAGGCACAGCACAGGGACCAUGAGGAUUGCGGAUAAGGGGCAGCAGAGGUAGUGAGCAUGGAUGGUAGGUGCAUAGUGGCAAUGGCUGAUGGGCAGCAAGUGUGACAGGCAGGGAGCUGGGAUGGUGCACGCGGGUGGUGGGAAGCAAGCAAUCCCAGUGGGGAUUUGUCUGCUAGGAAGGAGAUGAUGACGUUAGCAGCCCUGACCAGUCUCUGCUGGCAGUGGCUAGAGGUGGGUCAGACUACAGCAGCCCAGGAACAGGAACGGGCAGCAGGCCUGGAAUUUUGUUUUGGAAGAGUGAGCUUUCUCAUUGUAGAUGUGGCUGGUUUAUGCUCAGCUUCUUUGGGUGGGAUUUUGCAAAACGGCCAGCACUGCGUAGUCUUCAGUGCACUGUAGAAUAAUAGAAUGCUUUGGGUUGGAAGGGAACGUGAGGUCAUCUAGUCCAGCUCCUCUGUGGUGAGCAGGAACAUCUUCAACUUGAUCAGGUUGCUCAGAGCCCUGUCCAACUUGACCAUAUCCCUGGAUAGCAGGACUACCUAUUUUAAAGAAAAACUUUUUCUGUUGUGUGGAAAAGACGAGUGGGGUGGUCAUAGACUGUCACCUGCACCUGGCUUUCUGAUGGGUUUCCGCAUGAUUCCUGGUGGCCAUAGCAGGUGGCUGGAACUUACGCAAUAGCUUGUAAUCUUAGAAGCGUGCUGAUAGAUGUGACAGAGGUUCGGUGGGUUUUUAGAGAGAAUAGACUUUGCUCUCUGUUCUUUGAAACUGGGCAAUUAUUUCAAAUGUAUUUUGCUAGGCUGUUGGUCUGUGUGUAUCGUAGUCACUCUCCCUAGUGAAAGUUCUCCCUCUUCCUUUAGAUGGAAGCAAUGGAAGUCUGUCAGUGGCCUAAUCAAGCCACUACAUGACCACAGGAUGUCCCAAGAGCAUGAUUUGCUUGGAUUUUCUUAUUAAAUACUUACCUGUUUAAAACAUAAUUUAUUUAUGAAUUUUUAAGCAUCUGCCUAUUGAUGAAUUUGGUGUUUUCAUACGCUGUUAAUUUAAUUUUGUGGAGAUGAUGAGUUCUAAUACUUGAACUCUCGCCUUUGUGUUGCCCAUUCAUUUCUGUCCAGAAUGAAUGUGGUGUCAAAAAAGGCAAACAGAAAAUCUUGCUCAGAACAGUUUAAGGAGAGGUUUUUUUACCUUUGUUCUCCCUGUUUUAGCAAGGACAAAAAAAAAAAAAAAAAUCAGUAGAAAGGGUAAGGUUGAAGCAGUUCCAUAGUAUUUUUGCUUCAGUCUUUUAAAAUUAAGACUGACCAUUAUUAAAUGAGGAAAAACAAAAUUUAUAAUUGCCAGUUUUAGCAUUGUUAGCUAUCCUGUCUAUCACAAUUUUUUAGGUCUGUGCUGCAAUUAAUUAGUACAUAGCAUUUUACACUCCUGUAGUGGAGUGUAGUUUUUCUAUUGCAGAAAGAUAUCUACUGGUUCAGAAUACUCAGCUACAGAAAAGAUGAAAAUCUUCUUUAAUGGAAAAAAAUGUUUUGCCCUUUUGCAUUUGACUUUUUGUUAUUUCUGUCUGGGCUUAGAAAGAUAUAAAAAGAAUCCCUCUGCAGGAUUAUUUGGUGUUGGAUAGUAAUGUAUUUUACUCUUUUGGUGUACAUGGAAUAACCUUUCCUCGAUGCACUUUUGGAAGUGUGAAGUAUACUUUAAUAUUGCUAGCUGCAGUGGCUCUUACUUUGGGGAUGGCAGGGUCCAUUCCUGCCAGAAUGUUUAUGCUAUGAACACUUCUUACAGAAUCCUAGUGUGUUUUACGGGCAGUUCAGAAGCUCACAGAUAUGGCCUUACAUGGUGAAAGCCUCUGAGCAUGAGAAAGGCUUGUAGGAAGGAGGUAUGAAGUACUGAUUGCUCAGCUGUCCUGCAACUUCCUCCUUGAGAAAUUGACAGUACAGUACAAACUACUACAGAAGAGAAAUCUAGAUUGUGUAAUUGUGUAGUGUGUGCAAAAGCAGCUUUCAAGAUAUGAUUGCAGCUCUGGGAACGCAUACUGAUUGUUUGGCAGCUGCUCACAAAGACAACACAACAUCUGGAGUUGUGUAAAGAAUAUAUACUAUUUCCUUAUGAGAAAUUACUCAGGAAGAAUUGCUGGUACCUGCCUGAGACCAGUGGCAGUCUAUGCAAGAGUACUUCAUAAGAAACAAAAGAACAGUCAGAAGGAUGGAAUAUUAAGCCUGAAUGUAGCAACAUAAGAUGCUUUUAACUCUGUUGGGGCAGCGUCUAGUAAUGUUUAUGUAGAUAACAAAUAAAUAUUUGUUUCUAUUCUCAGAAUUUCUGUCUUCCUCUAGCCGUAAUAAGCAGUUGCUUCCAUUUGACAGUUCUGACUUCCAUGUAGUUUUGCAAUAGCAAUUCUCACCCUUUGGACUAAAUAAAACGUAGGA